UACGGGGGGGAGCAAGCGUUGUUCGGAUUUACUGGGCGUAAAGGGCGCGUAGGCGGCCAGCACAAGUCAGUUGUGAAAUCUCCGAGCUUAACUCGGAAAGGUCAACUGAUACUGUGCGGCUAGAGUGCGGAAGGGGCAACUGGAAUUCUUGGUGUAGCGGUGAAAUGCGUAGAUAUUCGGAAGAACACCAGUGGCGAAGGCGGCUCACUGGUCCGGUACUGACGCUGAGGUGCGAAAGCGUGGGGAGCAAACAGGG
rnacentral:rRNA from 1 species